GACCGGCCCUGGCAUUAAAGUCCUCCAAAAAGCUAUCGGAAAAUCAUUCAACUCCCAUUUUACUAGCAAUAUGCCUGAUCUAUUACUGGAAAAAAGCUACAGACUUUACUGUGAUCCAUAAAUCCCAUAAAUGAGAAAUGAUCCCAUCUCAAUAGCCCACCAAAAAAUUUACUUACGCAAGGAAACCCACAUUGAAUCACAAGCGAGUUCACAGAUCUCAGAAAUGGUGAUGACCCACAUACAGCUAUGCAAGAAAAGAAAGUGGCACUAAGAGAAAAAAGUGCAUCUACUAACAAGAACAGAAAAAACGAAAUCUCUGGUAGCUGUAUGAGAUUGAAAGAUAGAAUAAUGGAAAUUAGGAAAAAUGGCAUGCAACUAAAAGAAGCAGAAGAAAUUAACUUACCAUCUUCUCCUAGUAUAGCACUAGCAAACAGAGCGAAGAAGAGAAUAAUAGACGAAGCGAACCAGUUUCUUCCUGUUGAGCUUUGAACCAUGUUUACUUCUUGGCCAAGCUCUCUCUCUGUCUGUCUCUCUCU
rnacentral:misc_RNA from 1 species